rnacentral:rRNA from 1 species
GGGGAAUAUUGGACAAUGGGCGCAAGCCUGAUCCAGCAAUGCCGCGUGUGUGAAGAAGGCCUGCGGGUUGUAAAGCACUUUUUAUUGGGAAAGAAAAACUUAGGGUUAAUACCCUUGGGUCUUGACGGUACCC